rnacentral:lncRNA from 1 species
AACCUUAUUAGACUAGUGAACUUUAUUGAUUCAACUAGUCUUUAGUUGAUGAACGUUCUAAAUUUCAGAACCCUUAUUGAAUUAUCCAAACCAAACUUCCUUUGGUGCGGACUCGAAUGUCAAAUUGAGAUGAACAACCCUGCAAAGGGAUUUACUUAUGCGUUAGCGUUAAGAUAUUGUGCACAGUAUGGUACUAAGGGUUGAUCCCCCUAAGUACGAGUAGAAAGGUCCAUA